rnacentral:rRNA from 1 species
UACGUAGGUGGCAAGCGUUGUCCGGAUUUACUGGGCGUAAAGAGCGCGCAGGCGGCUGGUCAAGUCCGAUGUGAAAGCUCCCGGCUUAACUGGGAAAUUGCAUCGGAAACUGAUCGGCUGGAAGGUGGGAGAGGGUAGCGGAAUUCCCGGUGUAGUGGUGAAAUGCGUAGAUAUCAAGAGGAACACCUGCGGCGAAGGCGGGUUGCUGGGCCGACACUGACGCUGAGGCGCGAAAGCCAGGGGAGCGAACGGG